AUGACGAGUGUAACUAACCCAUUUUCUUCCCUCUCAGGCUCGUCUUUCUUUCGUAUUUGUGAGCAGGAGGAGGCAGGGGGCUGUUGGAGUUUGCUGAGAGUAGCUUUAACUUUUGCCAGAGGCUUUAGCAGCCAUAAAAACGGGCCCGGGUUAAAGCAGCGGCUGGCUAAUCUCUUCAUAUCUGAACCCAGAACCAAACACAUACCUACUCGUGUUGCAGAAAUCCAUUAAAACAGAGAGCAGGAUAAUGCAAAGUUUGCCACUGAACAGUGGGAAAGAGAUUCGAUGAUGGCUGCCUGUUUUACUGAGUCUGUGGGGAAUUUACAGAUGGUGGAUCUGUAUCAUUAAUUCACUGUGCCUGGAACUCAGCUGAACUGAUUCAUUGUCUCUGUGGCACAAGUGAGUUUAUUCAUAGUUUUAAAAUGUCUUUAGUCAGAAUAUGGCUGUCCACUGAAAUCUGUAUUAAUACAUCAGAUUGCUACGUAGCUGUCACACCCCAUUGGACUUUUGUUGUGUUUUCAUCCCUCAUGUGUUCAUUGACCCAGUUUAUGUCUCUUUUUCAGUACUUACUUCCUUAUUUGGUCAUGUUCCUGUUCUCGUCUAGUCAUCAUUAGUUAACCUCCAUUCACCUGUGUCUAGUUUAUCACCCUCAUUAUCCUGUAUAUAUUAUUUGGCCUCUUGUUGUUCUUCUUGGUCUGGUAUUGUUGAUGUUACCCUGUGUGUUAGACCCUCUUUUUCGUGUGGGGGUUACCAUUAAAAGGAUUUGUGAUAAUCUUUGUCGUGCCUUCGUCUCCCUAACAACAGUCAUGUGACAGUAACACAUCCAAGUAUUUUUUUUUAUGUCUUUUUGAUUCAUGGUACAAAAGAGACACUUGUCCUUUUUCACUGUCGAUCAGGCCAUGGCAGCUUGGAUACCAUCAAAAUCACAGCUCUUGUCAGAAAUAAUUUGCUAAACAUGUCUGUGUCUUAACACCUUCUGAAAACCUACUACAAUAUUUUUUUGUGUGUGUGUGGUGGAGGAGACUCUGAAAGGCUAACACUGUAAGAAAUUAGGUGAAUAUCCACUUUCAGCCAAUUUACUUGGUUAAUUUGAUAAACAUUAUUGUUUAAAAACAUUAGGGUCAGGAAGAGUUUUUUUUUUUAAGUAUUUAUUCACAAGAAGUUACUAUUUUAUGUAGCAAGGAUACAUUCAAUUGAUCAAAAGUGAUACAUUUACACAUUACUACUACUAAGAAUAAAUGUUUCUUGAACAUCAAGUCAGCAUAUUAGAAUGAUUUCUGAAUGAUCAUGUAAUGGAUUCUGAAUGUUCAGUUUUGCCAUCGCAGUAAGAAAUUCCACUUUAACAUUUUUUUUUCAAAUGGAACAUAGUUAUUUUUAAAUCAAACCAUCAAACGAUUAAGAAAAAAAAAAUGUUUGGGUAGAUCCUUAUUUACUUCCACGUGUGUGUUUCUAUGAUUUUUUAUUUUAACUGUUAGUCCAUUUUUUUUUUAUUUAAAAGAAACGAAACCAAGUUUUACAAUCAUUUCUAGCCUCGUAUAUAUAAUCAUGACUUGUACUGCAACAUGUACCAUCAAAAUACUGUGCCACUAAAAAAAAAAAAAAAAAAAAAAACAUCGUCCAUGUAAAUUUUCUGACCCAACAUUCUAUAUGUACCAUUAUAAUUCAUACUUUAAACAACAACAAAGUAAGGUAAGUCAUUCUCACAAAAGAAAUGAUUUAGCUUACUUGGCUAAACCUGCAUUUCAAACAAAAGUGAAUGAAACACACCAAGUUAAGCUCAUAUUGUAUCCCCCUCGGUUUAAUUGUGCUAGCUAAAUACAUGGGACUUAAUCAAGCUUAAAAAUAACAAACAAACAAAUAAAAGAAGUCCUCAGAGAACUCAUUAAAGGCCUUGUCAAACUCCAAGAGACUACAUAAUUACUAACCAAAAUAAAAAAGCAAAGCUCUUUUGUUUUAUUCCCUUCUUCUUUAUGAUUACUGCUGAACUAAGGUCAAUGAAAGCCAAAGUUUCACUUGUUUGAACAAUUUUAUUGAGUAAUGGAAACUAUGGCAUGUAUGAUCCUCCCACUUGAAAGAGAAUAUAUUUUCUUUUCGAAAAGACUCAAAAGUAUGUAUAUGUCUUAAAUAGAAUAUUAACAACCACUUAUGUUGAUGCUCUAGUUCUCACUGUGAGGAAAAAGAAAGGAAAAUUACAUUUGCUGACUUCUCUCAUUAAAGCAGAAAUCUAGUCCUGCUGACAGCGAAGGGAAAAGAGUUAAACAAUUUCUAUAAAUAAAUCUUUUUUUUUUUUCUUUCAUUUUAAUUACUGGAUCAACGGCGCCUCAGAUGAAUGGUCAUCCCAUCAAUCUCCAAUUAAAGUCAUGCAUUGCAGAUUUAGCUCGAGGUG
ensembl:lncRNA